rnacentral:rRNA from 1 species
UACGAAGGGGGCUAGCGUUGCUCGGAAUCACUGGGCGUAAAGGGUGCGUAGGCGGGUCUUUAAGUCAGGGGUGAAAUCCUGGAGCUCAACUCCAGAACUGCCUUUGAUACUGAGGAUCUUGAGUUCGGGAGAGGUGAGUGGAACUGCGAGUGUAGAGGUGAAAUUCGUAGAUAUUCGCAAGAACACCAGUGGCGAAGGCGGCUCACUGGCCCGAUACUGACGCUGAGGUGGCGAAAGCGUGGGGAGCAAACAGG